rnacentral:lncRNA from 1 species
AACAAAACAAGCCAUAAGUAUAUUGAAAAUGAAACUUCACAUACAAGUUAAUUCAAUCAUCAUGAGUGAAUCACAUAAGUUAUGCUUCAAGAUGCUUCAAGAUAGGCCAAAAAGACAGGCAACCAAUCAGAUAAGUUUAAAGAAGCUUAAGUAACAAGUAAUCAAACAAUGAAGGUACAUACAUGCCAUCAAGGGGUGUUGUGACUUUUACAUUAAGUUAACUCAAGUUGAGGUUCAAUAAUAACAAGGUAAUUCAU